AUUGAACGCUGGCGGCAUGCCUAGCACAUGCAAGUCGAACGGCAGCACAGUAGGUAGCAAUACCUAUGGGUGGCGAGUGGCGGACGGGUGAGUAAUGCUUAGGAAUCUGCCUUGUGGUGGGGGAUAACUAACCGAAAGGUUAGCUAAUACCGCAUACGCCCUUACGGGGAAAGCGGGGGAUCGAAAGACCUCGCGCCAUUAGAUGAGCCUAAGUCCGAUUAGCUAGUUGGUAGGGUAAAGGCCUACCAAGGCGACGAUCGGUAGCUGGUCUGAGAGGACGGCCAGCCACACUGGAACUGAGACACGGUCCAGACUCCUACGGGAGGCAGCAGUGGGGAAUAUUGGACAAUGGGGGAAACCCUGAUCCAGCAAUGCCGCGUGUGUGAAGGAGGCCUGCGGGCUGUAAAGCACUUUCGGUUGGGAAGAAAAGUUUGGCGCUAAUACCGCCGAACCUUGACGUUACUGACAGAAGAAGCACCGGCUAACUCUGUGCCAGCCGCCGCGGUAA
rnacentral:rRNA from 1 species